GACAUGGGUGGCAAACGUUAUCCGGAAUUAUUGGGCGUAAAGGGUGCGUAGGUGGUUUAGUAAGUUACUGGUGAAAAACUAGGGCUCAACCCUGGUAAGCCAAUAAUACUAUUAAACUAGAGGAUCGGAGAGGUUAACGGAAUUCUAUGUGUAGCGGUAAAAUGCGUAAAUAUAUAGAGGAACACCAAAAGGCGAAGGCAGUUAACUAUUCGAUUUCUGACGUUGAGGCACGAAAGCGUGGGGAGCAAGACGG
rnacentral:rRNA from 1 species